GAUGAACGCUGGCGGCGUGCCUAAUACAUGCAAGUCGAGCGAACGGACGAGAAGCUUGCUUCUCUGAUGUUAGCGGCGGACGGGUGAGUAACACGUGGAUAACCUACCUAUAAGACUGGGAUAACUUCGGGAAACAGGAGCUAAUACCGGAUAAUAUUUUGAACCGCAUGGUUCAAAAGUGAAAGACGGUCUUGCUGUCACUUAUAGAUGGAUCCGCGCUGCAUUAGCUAGUUGGUAGGGUAACGGCAUACCAAGGCAACGAUGCAUAGCCGACCUGAGAGGGUGACCGGCCACAUUGGGACGGAGAGACGGCCCAGACUCCUACGGGAGGCAGGAGUGGGGGAUAUUGCACAAGGGGCGGAAGCCUGAUGCAGCAAAGCAGCGUGCGGGAUAACGGCCGUCGGGUUGUAAACCGCUUGCGCCUGUGACGAAGCGUGGGUGACGGGAAUGGGUAAAGAAGCACCGGCUAACUACGUG
rnacentral:rRNA from 1 species